ACAUAACUGAUGCCUCCGCGUAUCGACUUUGUGCGCAUUUUAGCUAUUAUGUGUUCUUUUAAUUAAAAUGAUUCUUUUUAAGAUUCAUCUAUUAAAAAUUUGCUUCGGCAUAAUUUUUUUUGAUGAUCUUGUUACUUUGAGUAAAUUAGAGUGUUCAAAGCAAACAGAUAUAGCAUUUGUGCGUUUGAAUACUACAGCAUGGAAUAACAAAAUUGAACAAGUCAGAAUUUUUUUGUUCUUUUUUCUUAUUUUGGCUUAGUUACGAUUAAUAGGAGUAGCUUGGGGGCAUUUGUAUUCAGAUGUCAGAGGUGAAAUUCUUAGAUUUUCUGGAGACAAACAACUGCGAAGGCAUUUGCCUAAAAUACUUCCAUUAAUCAAGAACGAAAGUUAAGGGAGUGAAGACGAUCAGAUACCGUCGUAAUCUUAACCAUAAACUAUGCCGACUAGGCUUUGGAUGAAAGAUUUUAAAAUAAGAGUUUUUCUUUUCUCUCCGGAGAUUAGAACUCUUAGAUUGCUUCCUUCAGUGCCUUAUGAGAAAUCAAAGUCUUUGGGUUCUGGGGCGAGUAUUCGCGCAAGCGAGAAAGUUAAAAGAAUUGACGGAAGGGCACCACCAGGCGUGGAGCUUGCGGCUUAAUUUGACUCAACACGGGAAAACUCACUAGUUUAAGACAAGAGUAGGAUUGACAGAUUAAUAGCUCUUUCUUGAUUUCUUGGAUGGUGAUGCAUGGCCGUUUUUAGUUCGUGAAUAUGAUUUGUCUGGUUAAUACCGAUAACGAACGAGAUCUUAACCUGCUAAUUAGCGGCAAAUACGAUAUAUUCUUAUGUAGAAUUGAAUAUAGUGGAUUUGUUAGAUUUUGAAGAAAAUAUUGGAAUUACGUUAAAUGUGAUUCCUUUCCCUUUUCUACUUAAUUUACAUUUCCAUCUAUUUCUUUUUUGCGUAUGAAUGUAUUUGCUUGAUUGUAAAGCUUCUUAGAGGAACGAUGUGUG
rnacentral:rRNA from 1 species